UGGCGCACGGGUGCGUAACGCGUGGGAAUCUGCCCUUGGGUUCGGGAUAACAGUUGGAAACGACUGCUAAUACCGGAUGAUGACUUCGGUCCAAAGAUUUAUCGCCCAGGGAUGAGCCCGCGUAGGAUUAGCUAGUUGGUGAGGUAAAGGCUCACCAAGGCGACGAUCCUUAGCUGGUCUGAGAGGAUGAUCAACCACACUGGGACUGAGACACGGCCCAG
rnacentral:rRNA from 1 species